AUUGCUUCUCGGCCUUUUGGCUAAGAUCAGCUGAUAAGACCUGUUCUUAUCAGUUUAAUAUCUGAAAUGUCCUCUAUCCAAGGACAAUAUAUUAAAUGGAUAUUUGGAGCUGGGACAUGGAAUAGGGGCUUGUUCUGUCCAUUCCAUGCAUUGACCUGGUAUUGCAGUAUCUCCAGGGAUGGUGCACCAAAA
ensembl:snRNA U2 U2 spliceosomal RNA